GAAAUGCGAUAAGUAAUGUGAAUUGCAGAAUUCAGUGAAUCAUCGAAUCUUUGAACGCACAUUGCGCCCGCCAGCAUUCUGGCGGGCAUGCCUGUUCGAGCGUCAUUUCAACCAUCAAGCCCCCGGCUUGUGUUGGGGACCUGCGGCUGCCCGCAGGCCCUGAAAAACAGUGGCGGGCUCGCUGUCACACCGAGCGUAGUAGCAUACAUUCUCGCUCAGGGCGUGCUGCGGGUUCCGGCCGUUAAACGACCUUCAUAACCCAAGGUUGACCUCGGAUCAGGUAGGAAGACCCGCUGAACUUAAGC
rnacentral:misc_RNA from 1 species